rnacentral:tRNA from 1 species
GGAUAUGGUUCAAGUGGUAGCACGCUCGCCUGGCAUGCGGGCGGCCUGGGUUCGGUCCUCAGCACCAUAUACA